ACGAACGCUGGCGGCGUGCCUAAUACAUGCAAGUCGAACGCUUCUUUCCUCCCGAGUGCUUGCACUCAAUUGGAAAGAGGAGUGGCGGACGGGUGAGUAACACGUGGGUAACCUACCCAUCAGAGGGGGAUAACACUUGGAAACAGGUGCUAAUACCGCAUAACAGUUUAUGUCGCAUGGCAUAAGAGUGAAAGGCGCUUUCGGGUGUCGCUGAUGGAUGGACCCGCGGUGCAUUAGCUAGUUGGUGAGGUAACGGCUCACCAAGGCCACGAUGCAUAGCCGACCUGAGAGGGUGAUCGGCCACACUGGGACUGAGACACGGCCCAGACUCCUACGGGAGGCAGCAGUAGGGAAUCUUCGGCAAUGGACGAAAGUCUGACCGAGCAACGCCGCGUGAGUGAAGAAGGUUUUCGGAUCGUAAAACUCUGUUGUUAGAGAAGAACAAGGACGUUAGUAACUGAACGUCCCCUGACGGUAUCUAACCAGAAAGCCACGGCUAACUACGUGCCAGCAGCCGCGGUAAUACGUAGGUGGCAAGCGUUGUCCGGAUUUAUUGGGCGUAAAGCGAGCGCAGGCGGUUUCUUAAGUCUGAUGUGAAAGCCCCCGGCUCAACCGGGGAGGGUCAUUGGAAACUGGGAGACUUGAGUGCAGAAGAGGAGAGUGGAAUUCCAUGUGUAGCGGUGAAAUGCGUAGAUAUACGGAGGAACACCAGUGGCGAAGGCGGCUCUCUGGU
rnacentral:rRNA from 1 species